GAUGAACGCUAGCGGCAGGCUUAACACAUGCAAGUCGAGGGGUAUGCCGAUUUAUCGGCAGAGACCGGCGCACGGGUGCGUAACGCGUAUGCAAUCUACCUUUCACAGAGGGAUAGCCCAGAGAAAUUUGGAUUAAUACCUCAUAGUAUAGCAGUUUCGCAUGAAACCACUAUUAAAGUUCCAACGGUGAAAGAUGAGCAUGCGUCCCAUUAGCUAGAUGGUAAGGUAACGGCUUACCAUGGCUACGAUGGGUAGGGGUCCUGAGAGGGAGAUCCCCCACACUGGUACUGAGACACGGACCAGACUCCUACGGGAGGCAGCAGUGAGGAAUAUUGGUCAAUGGACGCAAGUCUGAACCAGCCAUGCCGCGUGCAGGAUGACGGUCCUAUGGAUUGUAAACUGCUUUUGUACGAGAAGAAACAUUCCGACGAGUCGGAACUUGACGGUAUCGUAAGAAUAAGGAUCGGCUAACUCCGUGCCAGCAGCCGCGGUAA
rnacentral:rRNA from 1 species